rnacentral:rRNA from 1 species
AAUGAACGCUGGCGGCAUGCCUUACACAUGCAAGUCGAACGGCAGCAUGACCUAGCUUGCUAUGUUGAUGGCGAGUGGCGCACGUGUGAGUCAUGCAUCUGACCUUGCCUUUUAGUUGGGGAUAACUUAGCGAAAGUUACGCUAAUCCCGCAUAUUCUCUGAGGCGGAAAGCAGGGGACCUUCGGGCCUUUCGCUUGUAGCGCGGCCGAUGUCGGAUUAGCUAGUUGGUGAGGUAAAGGCUCACCAAGGCAACGAUCCGUAGCGGGUCUGAGAGGUUGAUCCGCCACACUGGGACUGAGACACGGCCCAGACUCCUACGGGAGGCAGCAGUGGGGAAUUUUGGACAAUGGGCGAAAGCCUGAUCCAGCCAUGCCGCGUGAGUGAAGAAGGCCUUCGGAUUGUAAAGCUCUUUCGGCUGGGAAGAAAACGCACCCUAGAAAACAGGGUGUGGAUGACGGUACCAGCAGAAGAAGCACCGGCUAACUACGUG